AGAAUAUAGGGCUAUGCCUUGAGUUGAAUCUUCCUGUCAAGGAAUUUUCCAAAAAUCUAGGUUUUUACCAUGACCUGAAUCACAACAGAAUGUGUUAAAGGCUUUGGUAACUACCAAUAAUGCAUC
rnacentral:misc_RNA from 1 species